UACGUAGGGCGCAAGCGUUGUCCGGAAUACUGGGCGUAAAGCGUGCGCAGGCGGUUUGUGAAGCCAGAUGGUAAAUCCCCGGGCUUAACCUGGGAAUGGCAUUGGUGACUGCACGGCUAGGAGUGUGAUCAGAGGGGGGGUAGAAGUUCCAACGUGUAGCAGUGAAAUGCGUAGAGAUGAGUGGAGGAAUACCGAGUGGCGAAGGCAGCCCCCUGGGACUAA
rnacentral:rRNA from 1 species